rnacentral:rRNA from 1 species
GACGAACGCUGGCGGUGUGCUUAACACAUGCAAGUCGAACGGUAAGGCCCUUUCGGGGGUCCGGAUUUGGGGCGCGGGGGUGAAUAACGCGUGAAUCCCCCCCCCUUCUCUGGGUUAAAAGCCGGAAACGGUGGUUAUAAUUGCAUAUAGCUUCGCAUGCCACCUGGUGGGUGGGAAAGAUUUUUUUGGUUGGGGAUGGACCUCGGGCCUAUCAGCUUGUUGGUGAGGUAGUGGCUCACCAAGGCUUCGGCGGGGACCCGGCCUGAGAGGGCGACCGGCCACAUUGGGACUGAGAGACGGCCCAAGCGCCUACGGGGGGGAGCAGGGGGGAAUAUUGCACAAUGGACGGAAGUCUGAUGCAGGAACGCCGCGGGCGGGAUGACGGGCUUCGGGUUGGAAACCGUUUUCAAGUGUGACGAAGCUUUUUGUGACGGUAGCAGUAGAAGAAGCACCGGCUAACUACGUG